rnacentral:rRNA from 1 species
GUCUAUAGCCAUGCCACCCUGAACAAGCCCAAUACUGUCUGAUCUCAGACGCUAAGUAGGGUUGGGCCUGGUUAGUACUUUGAUGGGAGACUGCCUAGGAAGACCAGGUGCUGUAGGCA